AUCCAGCUGAUGAGUCCUAAAUGAGACGAAACGCACGUCCUAGAU
rnacentral:hammerhead_ribozyme from 1 species